rnacentral:rRNA from 1 species
AUGCUUUCAUGGAAGAUGAGUAGUUCAUCACAUUACAGAAGCCCGCGUUUUGACAUGGUGAACAGACCCCUAGAGGAAUGUAACGCUGGGGUGGCCGCCAUGGAGGAGGUCGUGAGCAAUCCUGUCUCGCUCCUUGUCGGCCGCUGCGGACAGCACUGGAUUGGCAGCGGCGACCACGUCGGCAUCGUCCUGCUGGGAGAGUUCGGACUGGAUGUCGGCGUCGAACUCCUCGCCGCUGCGUUCGCAGAAGUUGUGCAGCACGCAGCAAGCGCCGAUCAUGUUGUGGAGGUCCGGCAGCUUGGGCUCCGUGCGGCGCUGCAGGCAGCGCCACCGCCCCUUGAGCCUCUGGAAGGCGCCCUGUGCUGCUGCGCGCGCGGCGGCGAUGCGCUCGUUGAAGGCGUGCUGCGCCCAUGUCAGGUUCUGGUGCGCGUACGGCACGAGCAUCCAGUCCGUGAGCGGGUAGCUCGCGCCGCCCACCAGCCGGCACUGGUCGUCUCCGAGCAUGCCGGUCUCGCAGCGGGAGUGCAGCGCGGACCUCUCGAGCACGGCGGCGUCGGACAGCGAGCCAGGGAGGCCGAUGCACACGUCCGUGAAGGCGCCGUCAGCGUCCACGACGGCCUGCACGGCGACGGAGUAGGAGGCCUUGUUGUUCCGCUCCGUGAGGCGGCGGUUGUAGUACUCGGCCACGUCGUCCUUGGGUGGGCCGAUGGGGAUGUGGUCGGUGUAGACGGAGCCGAUGACGCCGGGGAUCCCGGACAGGGCCUGGAACCUGGCGGCGGGGGAUUCCAGUGGCCAGCGGACGGCCUUGGGCAGGAGAACGGCGGUGAGGGCGGCGCAGACCUGGAGGACGAUGUUAUGGCAGGUGGAGAUGCCGAGGCCGAAGCGACGGGAGACCUCGCGGAGGGGCUCCCCGGUGGCGAGGCGCCAGAGGCAGACCGCGACGCGCUGGUGCACGGGUAUGGCAGCACGCAGCGCGGUGUCCUCCUUGGCGACGGCGGCGCUGAGCUCGUCGCAGAGCGCGUCGAAGGUGGCGCGCGACAUGCGGAAGGCCUGGCGGAACUCGGCGUCCGGGCACGCCGGGCCGCUGAGGCGGUCCCACCACUCCGUGCUCCGCUCCCUCACCCACACCCGCCGGCCCCCGCUCCUUGCCGCUGGCGCAGCGUCGCCGCCGCUGUGGGCAGGCGAGGUGGGCGGCGAACCCUGCACCUUCCUCCUGACCGCCUGCGGCCGCGACGAGCCGUCGUCUCCCGCGGGGACGAAGCCGCGCUUCCUUCCUUGACCAGUCAUUUCCGCUGGUGGCGCCACCACCGGCGGUGGCAACGGCGCGGCGGCGUGUCCGAAGAAGGCUGGCGCGGCCUCGGCGCCGCCGUAGUAAGGGAAGGCGUCGGGCGCGGCGGCGAGGUCGUCGUUCAUGAGGAAGGCGAGGAGGGAGGAGUGGUCGUCGGCAGCUGCUGGGCCGUCGAAGAGCGAUGGAAGAGGGGUGAAGGGCGUGAGGUAGGUGCUCAUGAUCCGAUCGGUCUCGUCGAGUCUUGGCUGUCGGAGCUAGCUCGAUCGGCGGCGGCACUCCGAAGUACAGUACUGGCAGUCGGGUGCUUCAGUGAGACGCGGGAUGAGGAGGAUGAUCGAGGAGGAGGAGAUGGUUGA